UACGUAGGGUGCGAGCGUUUGUCCGGAAUUAUUGGGCGUAAAGAGCUUGUAGGUGGUUUGUCGCGUCUGCUGUGAAAAUCCGAGGCUCAACCUCGGACUUGCAGUGGGUACGGGCAGACUAGAGUGUGGUAGGGGAGACUGGAAUUCCUGGUGUAGCGGUGGAAUGCGCAGAUAUCGGGGAAAGAACGACCCGUGGCGAAGGCGGUUCUCUGGGACGGUACUGACGCUGAGACGCGAAAGCGUGGGGAGCGAACAGG
rnacentral:rRNA from 1 species